CGAAAAUAGAAUCGCAGGUUGGUAGUUCCUGCAUCCGCUUUGCGGAUUCUUCGCAGCAGCGG
rnacentral:ncRNA from 1 species